CGGGUGAGUAAUGCCUAGGAAUCUGCAUGGUAGUGGGGGACAACGUUUCGAAAGGAACGCUAAUACCGCAUACGUCCUACGGGAGAAAGCAGGGGACCUUCGGGCCUUGCGCUAUCAGAUGAGCCUAGGUCGGAUUAGCUAGUUGGUGAGGUAAUGGCUCACCAAGGCGACGAUCCGUAACUGGUCUGAGAGGAUGAUCAGUCACACUGGAACUGAGACACGGUCCAGACUCCUACGGGAGGCAGCAGUC
rnacentral:rRNA from 1 species